CAAGUCUCAAGGAGGUGUGGCUGCUACCUCCGCGCUCUAAGGCUGCCUAGGUUUACAGCUGGCCGCUUUUUUGACUGUUAAUUUGCCACUGGAAGUCUUCCAAACCACUUAAGAUAUCCUGAAGGUUUAUCUUUCAAUAUGGUUGAAUUGCCUGUAAGCAGCAUGACUUAGAUGAAUGAUUAAGGGUACACAGAUGCCACCACAGACUCUGGGAGGUCAGAGGACAAGUCUCAGCAUUGAGGUGACUCCUUCCACCAUAUGGGCUCUGGGGAGCAAACUCGGAUCAUCAGACUUGGCAGAAAGCAAGUCUGGGCUAUGCCAGUGCACAACAAUUAUUAUCCUACAUUGAAAUCAAUCCACCUCCAUUAAAGCAAAAGUAUGCAAGUGCUA